rnacentral:rRNA from 1 species
AGUAACGCGUAUGCAACCUACCUUUAACAGAGGGAUAGCCCAUAGAAAUGUGGAUUAAUACCUCAUAGUUCUUUUGGUCCGCAUGGACUGGAAGAUAAAGCUCCGGCGGUUAAAGAUGGGCAUGCGUGACAUUAGCUAGUUGGUAAGGUAACGGCUUACCAAGGCUACGAUGUCUAGGGGUUCUGAGAGGAUGAUCCCCCACACUGGUACUGAGACACGGACCAG